rnacentral:lncRNA from 10 species
AGAACCACUGGGCUAUAGAAUGAUGUCAAGGGCUGGAGAGGGAGGCUACAGAGUGGGUCUAGGUCCAGGUACAGUCUCAGAACCACACUGCAAAACUGGCUUAGUCAGGUAGCUGCUGUAUCUGCUGCUUCCACUGUGAACUCAAAAACCACAUUGCCUGUGCUGCAGGCCGGAAAGCUGCUGAACCAGGAAGCUGUGCUGAUGCUGCUGACUGCCCCUGAGGUUAGAGAUUGACUAGACAUAGUGCCACUGUCAUCCCUGCUGGAGAAGGUCCGAAGCACCUCCACCUCUGUGCUUCCAGAGGGGCACUGUGGUGGCCACUUAAAAUGCUCAGGCUAUACCAUGCACUAGAGCAUCUACCUGGGCAAGGGAUAUGCUGUAUGACACUCUCCUGAUGCUGGGCAUGGCUGUGAGCCAAAGCACCCAGGCAGCCCUGCCAUCAGAAGGGUAAACCACGGACACCUGAUGCCUUCCUGAAGGAAGAGCACUACGCCUGCCAAACCAUCAAGCGUUGAUGCUCCAGCGCCUUCUACCCGUGGUUCUCCAGCCUCAGCAGAAGAGAGAGAAAUUGAUGACCCUGUCGUUGUAGCAUCCCCAUCACCCAGCAAUUAAUUUUAGUUCAAUGCUUCAAACGCUCUUCAGGCGCAGUGUGCGUUCAGCUGUGUCAGCUAAUGCAAAUGGGGGAUCUCAGAAGUCUUAAUGAAGUAACUAUCCCUGAACACUGGGAUCAAUACUCAGCAUCCAGCUGUCAAAUCAACACCAAGGUAUGUAC